UACGUAGGGGGCAAGCGUUGUCCGGAUUCAUUGGGCGUAAAGGGUGCGUAGGUGGCGCCGUAAGUCGGGUGUGAAAUUUCGGAGCUUAACUCCGAAACUGCAUUCGAUACUGCGGUGCUUGAGGACUGGAGAGGAGACUGGAAUUCAUGGUGUAGCAGUGAAAUGCGUAGAGAUCAUGAGGAAGACCAGUGGCGAAGGCGGGUCUCUGGACAGUUCCUGACACUGAGGCACGAAGGCCAGGGGAGCAAACGGGG
rnacentral:rRNA from 1 species